rnacentral:rRNA from 1 species
GUGGGGAAUCUUGCGCAAUGGGCGAAAGCCUGACGCAGCGACGCCGCGUGAGUGAUGAAGGCCUUCGGGUUGUAAAGCUCUGUGGGGAGAGAAGAAUUAGUGCAGCCCAAUACGCUGCAUGAUGACGGUAUCUCCUUAGCAAGCACCGGCUAACUCUGUGCCAGCAGCCGCGGUAAGACAGAGGGUGCAAACGUUGUUCGGAAUUACUGGGCGUAAAGCGAGUGUAGGCGGUCUGAAAAGUCGGGUGUGAAAGCCCUGGGCUCAACCCAGGAAGUGCACUCGAAACUGCCAGGCUAGAGUAUCGGAGAGGUUGGUGGAAUUCUCGGUGUAGAGGUGAAAUUCGUAGAUAUCGAGAGGAACACCGGUGGCGAAGGCGGCCAACUGGACGAAUACUGACGCUGAGACUCGAAAGCGUGGGGAGCAAACAGGAUUAGAAACCCCUGUAGUCC